CAUUAAGAAGCUAAGUCCAAAGCGUUAACCUUUUAAGUUAAAGAACGGAAGUAUUAACCUUCCCUUAAUGA
rnacentral:tRNA from 1 species